rnacentral:rRNA from 1 species
CCCGAAAGAUCGAACGGGGAGAUUCAGCGUUAGCGUGCGAGGGUUCCGUGCGGUGCCGCGAUGUUUACGAUGGUACUUCGGUAUUUGUCAUUGACACGCGCCCGCGCGGUGUGUCCUUUGCGCGUCGGCGUGCACUUCUCCCCUUGUAGAACGUCGCGACCCACCGAGUGUCGGUUUAAGGACCGUGAUCGUCGACUGUGCCGCGCGUUUCGGCGCGCAGUUGCAGACGCUCGGUAUCCUGACCGGCUGCUCGGUGGUACUCGCAUGGUAUCGAGCCGCACACGAAUGCGUUCAGACUCGUCGCAAGCCCCUGUCACACCGUCGGUGUCACGGACCUCGUGCCGUAGCCGCGGUUGGCUGGCUGUUGGUUGACGAUGUUCUCGAACAGGCUUAAACGUAAGAUACUGGUCGGCGACGCUAUGGCUUUGGGUACUUUCAGGA